rnacentral:lncRNA from 1 species
AGAAAAGAGGUCUUCUUCAAGUCGGUGCUAUAGGCUAUCCCUACAUAUGCAAUGUCAUGUUUUUGUUACCGAAAUCUUUUUGUGGAGAGAUUGAGAGUGUACAAACCCAAUAAUGUCCGGGCCCAACUAAACCUAAAAUGGCCCAACACCUGACCCAAACUAAACAGCCCACUAACUAAAUUCCAGCAGCAACCCUAGCAGCAUACAACCUUCAACCCUAGCCGCCGCACAUCAGCCUUGCACCACCACCCUUUUCGCACGUACAUGUCCCAUGUACAUCCCCAGUUGGCCGAAUCUGCGCAACAAACGGCAAAACAAACACAAAGAACAAGUAAACGAAAGAGAAAAACGCAAAAAAUGAGAGAAUAAUGGAAAUACAAAGGUGUUGUGUUAUUUCUUUGAUUUUUUCUUCAUUUUUCGGCUAUAUAAAGCCGAGGAAAAUCUGUAAAUGGGGGGAUUUUGAGUGUAAAGAGAUACAAAUACAGAGACGAAAAAUACAGAAAAAGAGAAAUACAUUUCCAUUUGAAUAUAAAGGUGGUUUUUAAAUUUUGUUUUCUUUUCAGUGUUUUUUAUGUUUACUAUUGAUUUAUAAAAGGAAGAGAGGGAAGAGAAGUUUACCUCCGUGUUCGGGCCGCCAUUUUGGGAUCAUCUCCGCCGUCAUCGAAGCUCCAGUGGCUGACGAGCGACGGCGCAAAACGAAAAAGAGUUUUAAAAAAAACCUAGCAGAGUGUUAAAGAAUAUUUUUUUUCCUUUC